AAGUGAUCCUCCUGCCUCAGCCUUCUGAGUAGCCAGGACCACAGGCAUGUGUCCUCAUGCCUGGCUUAUUUUUGUAUUUUUUGUAGUUACGGGGUUUUGCAAUGUUUCCUAGGCUAGGCUCAAACUCUUGGGCCUAAGCAUCUCCUUCAGCCCUGGC